rnacentral:rRNA from 1 species
UACGUAGGGUGCGAGCGUUGUCCGGAAUUAUUGGGCGUAAAGAGCUCGUAGGCGGUCUGUUGCGUCCGCUGUGAAAACUCGGGGCUUAACCCCGAGCCUGCAGUGGAUACGGGCAGACUAGAGGUAGGUAGGGGAGAAUGGAAUUCCCGGUGUAGCGGUGAAAUGCGCAGAUAUCGGGAGGAACACCGGUGGCGAAGGCGGGUCUCUGGGCCGACAUUGACGCUGAGGAGCGAAAGCGUGGGGAGCGAACAGG